GACCUUGUAGCUCAGUUGGUAGAGCAUUGGACUGGUAUCCCAAAGGUAGCGGUUUCAAUUCCCCCCGUGGUCA